rnacentral:rRNA from 1 species
AUUGAACGCUGGCGGCAGGCCUAACACAUGCAAGUCGAGCGGAUGAAGGGAGCUUGCUCCUGGAUUCAGCGGCGGGCGGGUGAGUAAUGCCUAGGAAUCUGCCUGGUAGUGGGGAUAACGUCCGGAAACGGGCGCUAAUACCGCAUACGUCCUGAGGGAGAAAGUGGGGGAUCUUCGGACCUCACGCUAUCAGAUGAGCCUAGGUCGGAUUAGCUAGUUGGUGGGGUAAAGGCCUACCAAGGCGACGAUCCGUAACUGGUCUGAGAGGAUGAUCAGUCACACUGGAACUGAGACACGGUCCAGACUCCUACGGGAGGCAGCAGUGGGGAAUAUUGGACAAUGGGCUAAAGCCUGAUCCAGCCAUGCCGCGUGUGUGAAGAAGGUCUUCGGAUUGUAAAGCACUUUAAGUUGGGAGGAAGGGCAGUAAGUUAAUACCUUGCUGUUUUGACGUUACCAACAGAAUAAGCACCGGCUAACUUCGUG